ensembl:rRNA 5S_rRNA 5S ribosomal RNA
ACUCAUGGUCAUACCUGAACACGCCCGAUCUCGUCUGCUCUUGGAAGCAAAGCAGGGUUGGGCUUUGUUAGUGCUUGGAUGGGAGACCAGCUGGGAAUACCAGGCGCUGUAAGCU